rnacentral:rRNA from 1 species
UGAACGCUAGCGGGAUGCUUUACACAUGCAAGUCGAACGGCAGCGCGGACUUCGGUCUGGCGGCGAGUGGCGAACGGGUGAGUAAUAUAUCGGAACGUACCCAGUAGCGGGGGAUAACUACUCGAAGGAGUAGCUAAUACCGCAUACGCCCUACGGGGGAAAGGGGGGGAUCGCAAGACCUCUCACUAUUGGAGCGGCCGAUAUCGGAUUAGCUAGUUGGUGGGGUAAAGGCCUACCAAGGCGACGAUCCGUAGCUGGUUUGAGAGGACGACCAGCCACACUGGGACUGAGACACGGCCCAGACUCCUACGGGAGGCAGCAGUGGGGAAUUUUGGACAAUGGGGGAAACCCUGAUCCAGCCAUCCCGCGUGUGCGAUGAAGGCCUUCGGGUUGUAAAGCACUUUUGGCAGGAAAGAAAUCGCACGGGUUAAUACCUUGUGUGGAUGACGGUACCUGCAGAAUAAGCACCGGCUAACUACGUGCCAGCAGCCGCGGUAAUACGUAGGGUGCAAGCGUUAAUCGGAAUUACUGGGCGUAAAGCGUGCGCAGGCGGUUCGGAAAGAAAGGUGUGAAAUCCCAGGGCUUAACCUUGGAACUGCAUUUUUAACUACCGGGCUAGAGUAUGUCAGAGGGGGGGUGGAAUUCCGCGUGUAGCAGUGAAAUGCGUAGAUAUGCGGAGGAACACCGAUGGCGAAGGCAGCCCCCUGGGAUAAUACUGACGCUCAUGCACGAAAGCGUGGGGAGCAAACAGGAUUAGAUACCCUGCGUAGUCCACGCCCUAAACGAUGUCAACUAGCUGUUGGGGCCUUCGGGCCUUAGUAGCGCAGCUAACGCGUGAAGUUGACCGCCUGGGGAGUACGGUCGCAAGAUUAAAACUCAAAGGAAUUGACGGGGACCCGCACAAGCGGUGGAUGAUGUGGAUUAAUUCGAUGCAACGCGAAAAACCUUACCUACCCUUGACAUGUCUGGAAUCCCGAAGAGAUUUGGGAGUGCUCGCAAGAGAACUGGAACACAGGUGCUGCAUGGCUGUCGUCAGCUCGUGUCGUGAGAUGUUGGGUUAAGUCCCGCAACGAGCGCAACCCUUGUCAUUAGUUGCUACGAAAGGGCACUCUAAUGAGACUGCCGGUGACAAACCGGAGGAAGGUGGGGAUGACGUCAAGUCCUCAUGGCCCUUAUGGGUAGGGCUUCACACGUCAUACAAUGGUCGGGACAGAGGGUUGCCAACCCGCGAGGGGGAGCCAAUCUCACAAACCCGAUCGUAGUCCGGAUUGCAGUCUGCAACUCGACUGCAUGAAGUCGGAAUCGCUAGUAAUCGCGGAUCAGAAUGUCGCGGUGAAUACGUUCCCGGGUCUUGUACACACCGCCCGUCACACCAUGGGAGUGGGUUUCACCAGAAGUAGUUAGCCUAACCGUAAGGAGGGCGAUUACCACGGUGGGAUUCAUGACUGGGGUGA